rnacentral:rRNA from 1 species
AGUGAACGCUGGCGGUAUGCCUAACACAUGCAAGUCGAACGGCAGCACAUCAUGAGCUUGUUAUUACGGGUGGAGAGUGGAGGACGGGUGCGGAACGCAUCCGAACCUACUUUUUCGCGGGGGGUAACGUUGGCUGACAUCGCCUACUACCGCAUAAGACCUACGGGUGACCGCAAGGGAUUUUCCGUUCUUGCCGGCCUGAGUGAGCCGAUGUCGGAUUAGCUAGUUGGCGGGGUAAAGGCCAACCAAGGCGACGAUCCGUAGCUGGUCUGAGAGGAUGAUCAGCCACACUGGAACUGAGACACGGUCCAGACUCCUACGGGAGGCAGCAGUGGGGAAUAUUGGACAAUGGGCGCAAGCCUGAUCCAGCCAUGCCGCGUGCGUGAAGAAGGCCUUCGGGUUGUAAAGCGCUUUUGUUGGGAAAGAAAAGCAGCAGGUUAAUACCCCGGGGUUCUGACGGUACCGAAAGAAUAAGCACCGGCUAACUUCGUG